UACGGGGGGAGCGAGCGUUGUUCGGAAUCACUGGGCGUAAAGGGCGCGUAGGCGGUUGGAUAAGUCAGGGGUGAAAUGCCAGGGCUCAACCUUGGAAUUGCCUUUGAUACUGUCCGGCUAGAGGGCGGAAGAGGAUAGUGGAAUUCCUGGUGUAGCGGUGAAAUGCGUAGAUAUCAGGAAGAACACCGGUGGCGAAGGCGGCUAUCUGGUCCGCUUCUGACGCUGAGGCGCGAAAGCCAGGGGAG
rnacentral:rRNA from 1 species